rnacentral:tRNA from 1 species
GGGCGGUUGGCGCAGUUGGUUAGCGCGUUAGUUUGACAUACUAAAGGUCACAGGUUCGAGUCCUGUACCGCCCACCA